rnacentral:rRNA from 1 species
GACGAACGCUGGCGGCGUGCUUAACACAUGCAAGUCGAGCGAGUGGAUUCCCUUCGGGGAUGAAGCUAGCGGCGGACGGGUGAGUAACACGUGGGCAACCUGCCUUAUAGAGGGGGAUAGCCUUCCGAAAGGAAGAUUAAUACCGCAUAAUAUCAGAUUAUCGCAUGGUAGACUGAUCAAAGGAGCAAUCCGCUAUAAGAUGGGCCCGCGUCGCAUUAGCUAGUUGGUGAGGUAACGGCUCACCAAGGCGACGAUGCGUAGCCGACCUGAGAGGGUGAUCGGCCACGUUGGGACUGAGACACGGCCCAGACUCCUACGGGAGGCAGCAGUGGGGAAUAUUGCACAAUGGGGGAAACCCUGAUGCAGCAACGCCGCGUGAGUGAUGAAGGCCUUCGGGUUGUAAAGCUCUUUGAUCAGGGACGAUAAUGACGGUACCUGAAGAACAAGCCACGGCUAACUACGUGCCAGCAGCCGCAGUAAGAC